UUAGCACAGUCUUAACGAUGGAUGUCUUGGUUCCUACAGCGAUGAAGGCCGCAGCAAAAUGCGAUACGCAAUGAAAAUUGCAGUGACUGUGAAUCAUCGGAAUGCUGAAUGUAAACUACACCAAUUCCCUUCGGGGAAUACUGGUACUCCUACAGAAAAU